rnacentral:misc_RNA from 1 species
AGGAACCGCAGGACGCGUCUGCGCCGGAACCGGCGAACGACAAGGAGCCUGUGGUCUCAAAGCCUUACGUGAUGCCCGAUGAUCCCGAGGAAGGUUCGGUCGAAGCGCUCACCAAGGACGUGGCCGAGGCCAAAGAUCGCAUGCUGCGCACGCUCGCGGAGAUGGAAAAUCUGCGCAAGCGGACCCAGCGGGAAGUCGCCGACGCGCGGACCUAUGGCAUUCCCGCGUUCGCGCGCGACGUGCUCGACAUC